AUAACAAUUUGUGAUGCUUUAGGGAGCCUAUUGUUUGAUGGUUUAUAGGAGCCGGAUUUGUCUUUUUGACUAAUUUUCAACCUAUUCUUACUUCCAAAACUGUUGCAAUGGCUCUCGUUUUUUUUAAAUUUUUCUCUUUUCUCUUCUUUGGCAUAGUUUAUUUUUAAUAAAUUAUUUCAGGGUGAGAUAGAGAAAGAAUAAUGAGUAUCGUAGAUAAAUCUUCGGUUCCGAAUAGUGUAACUGUUGGUGCUGAGGUAAUCCAUCUUUAAAACCAUCGCCGUUAGAGGUUGCUUCUGAUAUUUUCGGUUAAGCGACCCAUGAAAUGGUGAUGACCUGAGGUAUGGAACAUCU
rnacentral:snoRNA from 1 species